CAAGGCCCCGGGCGGGCGGGGAGGAUACGGGGUGGCAGUGGCGGCGGCGGCGGCUUCUGGAGGCGGGCGUGGACGAGCCGGCGGCCGCAGCAGCGGCGGUCCCCGGAGUCCUGUGAAGCGCCCCUGUCCGCGCGGCUGUGGGGCCCUCGGAGAGGGCUGCCAGGACGCGAGCCACUGAGGAGCCGCUCAGCCAGCGCCACAGCCUUUAGGAUUAUCGGUCCCAUCCUCGCGCUCCUGCUCCGGCUCCUCCAUCUUGGCUUCGGCAGUGGCGGCUGCCGGGAGGAUGUGCCGCCUUCUGACAGGGGGAAGAAGGAGGAGAAGAUGAAGAAGCACCGGCGGGCCUUGGCCCUGGUCUCCUGCCUCUUUCUGUGCUCUCUGGUCUGGCUUCCCAGCUGGCGUGUAUGUUGUAAAGAGAGUUCUUCAGCUUCAGCGUCAUCGUAUUACUCUCAAGAUGACAACUGUGCGCUAGAAAAUGAAGAUGUACAAUUCCCGAAAAAGGAUGAAAGAGAGGGACCUAUCAAUGCUGAAUCAUUGGGAAAAUCAGGUUCAAAUUUACCUGUUUCUCCAGAAGAACAUAAAUUAAAAGAUGACUCUAUUGUGGAUGUACAAAAUACAGAGUCAAAAAAGUUAAGUCCACCGGUGGUGGAGACACUCCCUACAGUUGAUUUGCAUGAAGAGUCUUCCAAUGCAGUUGUGGACAGUGAAACUGUUGAAAAUAUUUCCAGCUCAUCUACCUCAGAAAUCACUCCAAUCUCAAAGCUUGAUGAAAUAGAAAAAUCUGGUACUAUUCCUAUAGCCAAACCAAGUGAAACCGAGCAGUCUGAAACUGAUUGUGAUGUUGGUGAGGCCCUUGAUGCUAGUGCUCCAAUUGAACAACCUUCCUUUGUCAGUCCACCUGACAGCCUUGUUGGCCAGCAUAUAGAAAAUGUAUCAUCUUCACAUGGUAAAGGAAAGAUAACAAAAUCAGAAUUUGAAUCAAAAGUUUCAGCAAGUGAACAGGAUGGUGGUGAUCAAAAAUCUGCAUUGAAUGCUUCAGAUAAUGUAAAAAAUGAGAGCUCUGAUUAUACAAAACCAGGAGACAUUGACCCUACAUCUGUAACAAGUCCCAAAGAUCCGGAAGAUAUACCAACAUUUGAUGAAUGGAAGAAGAAAGUUAUGGAAGUAGAAAAAGAAAAAAGUCAGUCAAUGCAUCCAUCUUCUAAUGGAGGUUCACAUGCCACCAAAAAGGUCCAGAAAAAUCGAAAUAAUUAUGCCUCAGUAGAAUGCGGUGCCAAAAUUCUAGCAGCUAAUCCAGAAGCCAAGAGCACAUCUGCUAUUCUUAUAGAAAAUAUGGAUCUUUAUAUGUUGAAUCCUUGCAGCACUAAAAUUUGGUUUGUUAUUGAACUUUGUGAACCAAUUCAAGUAAAGCAGCUUGAUAUUGCAAAUUAUGAAUUAUUUUCUUCUACUCCUAAAGAUUUUCUGGUUUCUAUCAGUGACAGAUAUCCAACAAAUAAGUGGAUUAAGCUGGGUACUUUUCAUGGUAGAGAUGAGCGGAAUGUACAGAGUUUCCCUUUAGAUGAACAGAUGUAUGCAAAAUAUGUCAAGAUGUUCAUCAAGUACAUAAAGGUUGAGUUGGUAUCACAUUUUGGAUCAGAGCACUUUUGUCCAUUAAGCCUUAUAAGGGUAUUUGGCACUAGCAUGGUGGAAGAAUAUGAAGAAAUUGCUGAUUCCCAGUAUCACUCAGAACGCCAGGAACUAUUUGAUGAGGACUAUGAUUAUCCACUGGAUUAUAAUACUGGAGAGGAUAAAUCCUCAAAAAAUCUUCUUGGUUCUGCUACAAAUGCCAUUCUAAAUAUGGUGAAUAUUGCUGCUAAUAUUCUGGGAGCAAAAACUGAAGACCUGACAGAAGGAAAUAAAAGUAUAUCUGAGAAUGCCACUGCCACAGCUGCACCUAAAAUGCCUGAAUCAACUCCUGUUUCAACUCCUGUUCCAUCUCCUGCGUAUGUAACCACUGAAGUAGACACAAAUGACAUGGAGCUGUCAACACCAGAUACUCCAAAAGAGAGUCCCAUUGUACAAUUAGUUCAAGAGGAGGAAGAGGAGGCAAGUCCAUCUACAGUGACGCUUCUGGGCAGCGGUGAACAGGAAGAUGAAUCAUCACCCUGGUUUGAGUCAGAGACACAAAUAUUUUGCAGUGAACUGACCACAAUUUGUUGUAUUUCUAGUUUUUCGGAAUACAUAUAUAAAUGGUGUUCAGUUAGAGUUGCUCUUUAUUGGCAGCGCAGCAGAACUGCUUUGAGUAAAGGAAAAGAUUAUCUUGUGUCAGCUCAACCACCCUUACUACCUGCAGAAUCAGUAGAUAUUUCGGUAUUGCAACCUCUGAGUGGAGAAUUGGAAAAUAAGAAUAUAGAAAGGGAAGCUGAAACUGUUGUUCUUGGUGAUUUAAGUAGUAGUAUGCACCAAGAUGACUUGGUGAAUCACACUGUAGAUGCAGUUGAACUUGAACCAAGCCAUUCUCAAACUCUUUCUCAGUCUCUUCUUUUAGAUAUUACCCCAGAAAUCAAUCCCUUGCCUAAAAUAGAAGUAUCUGAAUCUGUUGAAUAUGAGGCAGGACAUAUAACGUCACAAGUGAUUCCCCAAGAGAGUUCUGUUGAGAUUGAUAAUGAAGCAGAACAGAAGUCUGAGAGCUUUAGUUCUAUUGAGAAACCAUCUGUUACCUAUGAAACAAAUAAAGUUAAUGAGGUAGUGGAUAAUAUUAUAAAAGAAGAUGUGAACUCCAUGCAAAUUUUCACAAAGCUGUCUGAAACAAUAGUGCCACCAAUAAAUACAGCCACUGUACCCGACAAUGAAGAUGGGGAAGCCAAAAUGAAUGUAGCUGACACAGCAAAGCAAACUUUGAUUUCUGUUGUGGAUUCUUCUUCAUUACCUGAAGUAAAAGAAGAAGAGCAGUCUCCAGAAGAUGCCCUUUUGAGAGGGUUACAGAGGACAGCUACAGAUUUUUAUGCUGAAUUGCAAAAUUCUACAGAUCUAGGAUAUGCUAAUGGAAAUCUUGUACAUGGAUCAAACCAAAAGGAGUCAGUAUUUAUGAGACUUAAUAAUCGUAUUAAAGCCUUAGAAGUUAACAUGUCUCUCAGUGGUCGCUAUCUGGAGGAGCUUAGCCAAAGGUACCGAAAACAAAUGGAAGAAAUGCAAAAGGCUUUCAAUAAAACAAUUGUAAAACUUCAGAAUACUUCAAGAAUAGCAGAGGAGCAGGAUCAGCGGCAAACUGAAGCCAUCCAGUUGCUACAGGCACAGCUGACCAACAUGACACAGCUUGUUUCAAAUUUAUCAGCAACAGUAGCAGAAUUGAAACGGGAGGUUUCAGAUCGACAAAGCUAUCUUGUCAUAUCUUUGGUUCUUUGUGUUGUCUUGGGACUGAUGCUUUGUAUGCAGCGUUGUCGAAACACUUCUCAAUUUGAUGGAGAUUAUAUUUCAAAACUUCCUAAAAGUAAUCAGUAUCCGAGCCCUAAAAGGUGCUUCUCUUCCUACGAUGACAUGAAUUUGAAAAGAAGAACUUCAUUCCCGCUCAUGAGAUCCAAGUCUCUACAGUUAACUGGCAAAGAAGAAAGGGAUGUUUGAGAAAGUUCAACAGAUAUGGAAAACCUGAAUGUGCUCCCAUAGCAUCCUGUGCUUUUCUGCCUUCUCUUCUUAUACAGUAGACCCAAAUGAUCUGUACAUUGUAGAACCCCUCAAGUUUUCUCCAGAAAAGAAGAAGAAGCGCUGCAAGUACAAAAUUGAAAAAAUUGAGACCAUAAAGCCUGCAGAACCAUUGCACCCCAUAGCCAAUGGAGACAUAAAAGGAAGAAAGCCCUUUACGAACCAGAGAGAUUUUUCUAAUAUAGGAGAAGUUUAUCACUCUUCUUAUAAAGGUCCUCCAUCUGAAGGAAGCUCAGAAACUUCAUCACAGUCAGAAGAGUCCUAUUUUUGUGGCAUUUCAGCUUGCACAAGUCUGUGCAAUGGACAGUCUCAAAAGACAAAAACUGAGAAGAGGGCUUUAAAACGAAGGCGAUCUAAAGUUCAAGACCAAGGAAAAUUGAUAAAAACUCUAAUACAGACUAAGUCGGGAUCAUUGCCGAGCCUGCAUGACAUAAUCAAAGGAAACAAAGAGAUCACCGUGGGAACAUUUGGUGUUACAGCAGUCUCGGGACAUAUCUAAAAUUAAUUGAACUUUUCAUACUGAAGACUUUUUUGUUGUUCUUUGGAGAACAGUCUGUGGUAUUUGAAGGGUUUGGGGAGGGAGAAAAUAUUAAUGGGAAAGGCAUUCAGAAAUUAUGGUUUCUGCCUUUUUAAAAAGUAGAUGGGAUUGUGUCAAUCUUGGUUAAUGAGCUACAGUUUUACAAAGCUGAUCACUUCCUAUAAGGACAAUGGUAGACAUUUUAUAAAGAUGUUUUUUCACAAGAUUAAUUACUGGGACAAAAGUAAUUUGGAAGCCCAGUUCCUUAGGUGGGAUAGGAAUGAAAGCCUAAACCUCUUCCUUUAGCUUUGUUCCUAUUUCUUGCACCUUCCCAUAUUUAUGUGCCUUUUGUCUAUUUAUAAUGCCACUGGAAGAGGAGGGAGAACUUUUUCUGUUAUUUGAUUUCUUUUAUAACUGUGUUAGGUUUUUGAAGCUACAAACACUACAAGGCUUGGAGGGGUCUGUGCCUGAAGCUCAGCAGUGUGGGUCAGACAGUCUAAAGAUCCUAAAGACUUGCCAACUGGAUCUUUGUUUAGCAAACUCACUGGAAAUGAACACUUAAUGGAAUUUUUAAGUCUGUUCUUUUAGGUAGAUGGUGAUGCUCUUGUUAUUUUCACUUAUUCAGACUGGAUUACUUCUUACUUAGUUACUAACUCAAUGAGGAAAAUAAAAACCCCUACAGGAUCUUUUUUUGCAAACAACUGAUAUAUGCAAACAAAUUUUUGACAAAUUCACCUUUUAAACACACUUAACCAUUUGUGAAGGUUUUCUUUAGCUUACAUUUUAAACAUACACAAUAAACACUAAUCCUCCAAACUUUCACUGUUUUUAUUAGUACGAAUAUAAAAUUUGAAGGUUUGGCCAAUUAGUACAAGUCUCAUGAUAUAAUCACUGCCUGCGUACAUAUGCACAGAUCCAGUUAAUGAGUUUGUCAAGCUUCAUCUAAUUGGUUAAGUCUAAAGGGAUUAUUAUUCCUUGAUGUUUGCUUUGUAUUGGCUACAAAUGUGCAGAGGUAAUACGUACGUGAUGUCAGUGUCUCUUUUUUUUUUUUUUGUCUUUAAAAAACAAUUGGCAGCAACUGUAUUUGAAUACAAUGAUUUCUUAGUGUGAUUGUACAGUAAUGAAUGAAAGUGGAACAUGUUUCUUUUUGAAAGGGAGAGAAUUGACCAUUUUGUGUUGUGAUGUUUAAGUUAUAACUUAUUGAGCACUUUUAGUAAUAACUGUUUUUAAACUUGUCUAAUACCUUUCUUGGGUAUUGUUUGUAAUGUGACUUAUUUAAAGCCUUUUUUGUUUGUUUAAGUUGCUGCUUUAGGUUAACAGCGUGUUUUAGAAGAUUUAAAUUUCUUUCCUGUCUGCACAAUUAGUCAUUCAGAGCAAGAGGGCCUGAUUUUAUAGAAGCCCCUUGAAAAGAGGUCCAGAUGAGAGCAGAGGUAGAGUGAGAAAUUAUGUGGUCUGUGUGUUGUGGAAAGAAAAUUUUCAAUAUGUAACUACGGAGCUGUAGUGCCAUUAGAAACUGUGAAUUUCCAAAUAAAUCUGAACACUUGUCUUUAUUAA